rnacentral:rRNA from 1 species
AACGAACGCUGGCGGCGUGCCUAACACAUGCAAGUCGAGCGCGAACGACCCCUUCGGGGGACUAGUAGAGCGGCGGACGGGUGAGUAAUACAUGGAUAAUCCCCCUUCGAGCUCGGGAUAACACUGCGAAAGCGGUGCUAAUACCGGAUAAGACCACGUCACCCAGGUGAUGCGGGAAAAGAUGGCGUUAUUUUCGGAUAAGCUAUCACUUGAUGAUGAGUCCAUGGCCUAUCAGCUUGUUGGUGAGGUAACGGCCCACCAAGGCGACGAUCAGUAGCCGACUUGAGAGAGUGAUCGGCCACAUUGGGACUGAGACACGGCCCAAACUCCUACGGGAGGCAGCAGUGGGGAAUAUUGCACAAUGGGGGAAACCCUGAUGCAGCGACGCCGCGUGAAGGAAGAAGUAUUUCGGUAUGUAAACUUCUAUCAGCAAGGAAGAUAAUGACGGUACUUGACUAAGAAGCCCCGGCUAACUACGUGCCAGCAGCCGCCGUAACAC